rnacentral:rRNA from 1 species
CAGCCGCCGCGGUAAUACAGAGGGUUCAAGCGUUAAUCGGAAUUACUGGGCGUAAAGCGCGCGUAGGUGGUUUGUUAAGUUGGAUGUGAAAGCCCCGGGCUCAACCUGGGAACUGCAUCCAAAACUGGCAAGCUAGAGUACGGUAGAGGGUGGUGGAAUUUCCUGUGUAGCGGUGAAAUGCGUAGAUAUAGGAAGGAACACCAGUGGCGAAGGCGACCACCUGGACUGAUACUGACACUGAGGUGCGAAAGCGUGGGGAGCAAACAGGAUUAGAUACCCCGGUAGUCCCUGUCUCUUAUAA